AACGUAGGAGGCGAGCGUUAUCCGGAUUUAUUGGGCGUAAAGCGCGUGCAGGUGGUAUCGUAAGUCGGAUGUGAAAGCCUCUGGCUCAACUGGAGGAUGUCGUUCGAUACUGCGGAGCUUGAGGUCGGGAGAGGGAAGCGGAAUUCCCGGUGUAGUGGUGGAAUGCGUAGAUAUCGGGAGGAACACCAGUGGCGAAGGCGGCUUCCUGGCCCGCACCUGACACUAAGACGCGAAAGCGUGGGGAGCGAACGGG
rnacentral:rRNA from 1 species